rnacentral:snoRNA from 1 species
UUGCACGUAGCCUCCCGGGCUCUUCUGAGAUUUUACAAGUGAAAUUGAAGCCCCAAAGCUCGUGCUCGAAUGACUCCGUUUAGUGUUGCAGAUUUGUCUCUUUGUACAUCUUUUCCACUUCUAAUUUGUGUCAAAUCAACGUCUAAAUAU